UAAUCUGUUCCGUAGAAGAAA
rnacentral:piRNA from 1 species